rnacentral:rRNA from 1 species
CCCCGCUGACGAGCGGCGGACGGGUGAGUAAUGCAUAUGAAUCUGCCCGAUAGUGGGGGAUAACCUGGGGAAACCCAGGCUAAUACCGCAUACGUCCUACGGGAGAAAGGGGGCUCCGGCUCCCGCUAUCGGAUGAGCCUAUGUCGGAUUACCUGGUUGGUGAGGUAAAGGCUAACCAAGGCGACGAUCCGUAGCUGGUCUGAGAGGAUGAUCAGCCACAUCGGGACUGAGACACGGCCCGAACUCCUACGGGAGGCAGCAGUGGGGAAUAUUGGACAAUGGGGGCAACCCUGAUCCAGCCAUGCCGCGUGUGUGAAGAAGGCCCUCGGGUUGUAAAGCACUUUCAGUGAGGAAGAACGCCUGGUGGUUAAUACCCAUCAGGAAAGACAUCACUCACAGAAGAAGCACCGGCUAACUCCGUGCCAGCAGCCGCGGUAAUACGGAGGGUGCGAGCGUUAAUCGGAAUUACUGGGCGUAAAGCGCGCGUAGGUGGCUUGAUAAGCCGGUUGUGAAAGCCCCGGGCUCAACCUGGGAACGGCAUCCGGAACUGU